CCUACGGGGGGCUGCAGUGGGGAAUAUUGGACAAUGGGCGAAAGCCUGAUCCAGCCAUGCCGCGUGAGUGAUGAAGGCCUUAGGGUUGUAAAGCUCUUUUGUCCGGGAAGAUAAUGACUGUACCGGAAGAAUAAGCCCCGGCUAACUUCGUGCCAGCAGCCGCGGUAAUACGAAGGGGGCUAGCGUUGCUCGGAAUCACUGGGCGUAAAGCGCACGUAGGCGGAUUUCUAAGUCGGAGGUGAAAGCCCAGGGCUCAACCCUGGAAUUGCCUUCGA
rnacentral:rRNA from 1 species